AUCCAUCUGACGAGUCCCAAAUAGGACGAAAUAAGCUUUUUCCUGGAU
rnacentral:hammerhead_ribozyme from 1 species